UAUUUAUAAUAAAUAUCACAUGAUAUUUAUUUUUUAUAUUUAAAAUAGUGUAUAUUUUAAGUACCUAAUACACAUGUCACUAAAAAUUUAAAAUCAUUCAAUAUGUAAAAUCAUUUUGACUUGGGGAUAACUUAAUUAAACAAAAAUUUAAAAAAAAAUAUCAUCAAAAAGUAAAUCUAGUCUAUUUGUUUUCGCAAAUAAUAGAGGGUCCGAAUUUCACAAAUAAUAGAGGUAAUUGCAAUUCGGACCCCCUACUAUUUACCUCUAUUAAAAUAGGCUAGAUUUACUUUUUGAUUAAACGACAAGAGGCUUAUAUAAAAAGCACAUUAUACCUAACUUACGUUCAAAAACGAUAUUAUACCUGUACUUUUGGAAACCCAAAUCUCACCACCUAUCUUUACAACGAUACGCACCUCCUCCGUUGAAUUCCGUUACCUUCCGUUAAAAUACUCCUCCGUCUCAAUUUACAUGUCCC
rnacentral:lncRNA from 1 species